GCCAGGCGUGUUGGCACACGCCUGUAAUCCCAGCGGCUUGGGAGGCUGAGAUGGGAGGAUUGCGAGUUCAAAGCUAGCCUCAGCAAAAGUGAGGUGCUAAGCAACUCAGUGAGACCCUGUCUCUA
rnacentral:sRNA from 1 species